rnacentral:lncRNA from 1 species
CUGGUGUCUCAGCUCACAUGGGUGAAUGCACUGUAUGCAGAUUGGAAAUCACUCAGGUGGGAGCAUCACAGAAGUCUGGCCAGGGUGGCCAGUGAAGGCAGUCAUGUCGCACUCCCUCACACAGAUGCUGGGGCCAGCAUUCCAGAGCAAACAACCCUUCUGUGCUCGCUCCUUCUCAAGUGCCACCAGGGCCUCCACCUUUGCCCAACAGGUGGAAUGGGUGAUGGGAAGGUUUGUCUCCUCCCUCCUCGGCUCCUGGCUGGAGAUGCACACCCAGGAGGACCUCCCAGCCCCCUGUCCUCUCAACCCGCUAUAGACCCCAAGCCUGCUGAGCAAGAGCAGGGCUGAGAAGCCUGGGGUAGGUGCUGUGGGCCUGCAGGAGGAGGACGGGGCUGAACAGGUAGAAAGAACUCCCAGGUGUGGUGUACGCCCAGGAGCCUCAAGAGACCCAGCAGUCAAGAGGUGGUUGUGGUCAGGGGUACCUUCCUGGGAUGGGCUGGUGGACAGAGUUGUCUCAAGGCAGGAAUAUGGACAGUCACUGAUCUUUUCUCCUCUUCUGGCUGCAAGGCUCAAGUCCCACAUGCAGAGCCUGCGCCAGCUCUACCUGCAGCUUCCUCACCAGCUCUAGCACUGAAGUGAUCUCGCCAGCUGCAGGAACUGCUUCUCCACCAGCUCCAGACCUGAGGCCCUUGUGCUUGUGCAGCAGGUGUCACCUCCUGACCUCCAUCCAUCUGUGGCCCACUCCUGCCCAACACCCACCCUUCUUCCCCCCACCUGUGCCACUUACUGCUGUGUUUACUCAUACCCUUACUUCCCAGUGUUCUACACAUAUGUAAAUACAUUGCUUUUUA